GCCUGGGCGGCUCAGUCGGUUAAGCGUCUGACUUCAGCUCAGGUCAUGAUCUCUCAGUUUGUGAGUUCAAGCCCCACAUCAGGCU
rnacentral:tRNA from 1 species